rnacentral:rRNA from 1 species
UACAGAGGUCUCGAGCGUUGUUCGGAUUCAUUGGGCGUAAAGGGUGCGUAGGUGGUCUGGUAAGUCGGAUGUGAAAUCCCGGAGCUUAACUUCGGAACUGCAUUCGAUACUGCCGGACUGGAGUACUGGAGAGGAGAUCGGAAUUUACGGUGUAGCAGUGAAAUGCGUAGAUAUCGUAAGGAAGACCAGUGGCGAAGGCGGAUCUCUGGACAGUUACUGACACUGAGGCACGAAGGCCAGGGGAGCAAACGGGG